GGUUAGAGCGGCAGGCGGCCUAGUGGUUAGAGUGUUGGGGCAGUAACCAAAAGCUUGCUGGAUCAAAUCCCUGAGCUGACAAGGUAAAAAGUUGUUUUUCUGCCCCUGAGGAAGGCAGUUAACUCAUUGUUCCCCGGGCGACGUGGAUGUUGAGUGCAGCAGCCCCCCGUACCUCUGAUUCAGAGGGUUUGGGUUCAAUACGGGAGACACAUUCCAAUUGAAUACAUUCAGUUGGACAACUAACUAUUCCUUAAAAUGAGGGACAGACCUAAAUGAAUCACUAAUCACAAUAAAUAAUCAUCUUCAGAAAUAACUGCCAAAGCAACAAAAUAACUGGGACUUUCAACUGGAUGCAAAAGACACUGAUUUUGUGGAACGGCCCAGCUUCUCUAUUACAGAGGACACUACAGGUGUACUCCACAGUGGACAGAUGACACUAUACAGGUGUACUCCACAGUGGACAGAGGACACUAUACAGGUGUACUCCACAGUGGACAGAGGACACUAUACAGGUGUACUCCACAGUGGACAGAGGACACUAUACAGGUGUACUCCACAGUGGACAGAGGACACUAUACAGGUGUACUCCACAGUGGACAGAGGACACUAUACAGGUGUACUCCACAGUGGACAGAGGACACUAUACAGGUGUACUCCACAGUGGACAGAGGACACUAUACAGGUGUACUCCACAGUGGACAGAGGACACUAUACAGGUGUACUCCACAGUGGACAGAGGACACUAUACAGGUGUACUCCACAGUGGACAGAGGACACUAUACAGGUGUACUCCACAGUGGACAGAGGACACUAUACAGGUGUACUUCAAGAUGAGCCUUGAAAGGAGUCUAUGGACUGAUGUGUGAUUCUGAGGAGAGGAGAGGAGAGACUGGUGUGAGGACUAGUAUCUAACUGGUAUCUGUGUGAGGAGAGGAGAGACUGGUGUGAGGACUAGUAUCUAACUGGUAUCUGUGUGAGGAGAGGAGAGACUGGUGUGAGGACUAGUAUCUAACUGGUAUCUGUGAGAGGAGAGACUGGUGUGAGGACUAGUAUCUAACUGGUAUCUGUGUGAGGAGAGGAGAGACUGGUGUGAGGACUAGUAUCUAACUGGUAUCUGUGAGAGGAGCGACUGGUGUGAGGACUAGUAUCUAACUGGUAUCUGUGUGAGGAGAGGAGAGACUGGUGUGAGGACUAGUAUCUAACUGGUAUCUGUGAGAGGAGAGACUGGUGUGAGGACUAGUAUCUAACUGGUAUCUGUGUGAGGAGAGGAGAGACUGGUGUGAGGACUAGUAUCUAACUGGUAUCUGUGAGAGGAGAGACUGGUGUGAGGACUAGUAUCUAACUGGUAUCUGUGUGAGGAGAGGAGAGACUGGUGUGAGGACUAGUAUCUAACUGGUAUCUGUGAGAGGAGCGACUGGUGUGAGGACUAGUAUCUAACUGGUAUCUGUGUGAGGAGAGGAGAGACUGGUGUGAGGACUAGUAUCUAACUGGUAUCUGUGAGAGGAGAGACUGGUGUGAGGACUUUCCAUUUCAAAUAUGGACCAUAUCUUAUAUUUGUUUGUUUUAAUAACUUUUCACCUCUAGUUUGUUGGUUUGUUUGUGUUGUUGUUCAUCUGCUGCUGACUAAUUUACAAUAUGGGAUUCUGGUACUGUUUAAUUUCACAACCCGGUUUACAAUAUGCAGGUCACUCCAGAAGCGGAAUUUUGCAACCCUUAGAUGGUACUUGAUUGGUUCAAUGAAUCUCAACGAAACCGAAGUGUGAUAUGUAAUUAUCACGUAAUUACCGUUUUAAUUUGUAAGGAACUACACUUCCUGCUAAACAGUGGGUUGUAAAAACGAAGCAUUACUGAGAUUCUUUGUUUCUCCGUUUUGAUACACCUGGAAAUGUACAUGCAAUGAUUAUGAAUUUGAUUUGACUUGUUUUGUUCUCAUGUAUUAUGUGCCUUUCUGUAUGUGACAAUUCUGUUUAAAUGAAACAUUUUUAAUCUAACAAACCCGCUCCAUGAUUUUUUCUUUCUUUAACUAGGCAUGUCAAUUAAGAACAAAUUCUUAUUUACAAUGGCGGCCUACCGGGAACAGUGGGUUAACUGCCUUGUUCAGGGGCAGAAAGACAGAUUUGUUUUACCUUGUCAGCUCGGGGAUUCGAUCCAGCAACCUUUCGGUUACUGGCCCAACACUAGGCUACCUGCCCCAGGUGUUUGAAUGAGUGUGGACAUGUUGUGGUUGACGGUUUGUUUUGCUUGGGAAAAUGUUGUGAAUACUACCUUAGUGGUGUGGAGGACAAUAAUGGUCAAAAUAAUGAAUGAAUUGAUUAAAUGAAAUUAAAUGAA